UUUGACCUCAAAUCAGGUAGGACUACCCGCUGAACUUAAGCAUAUCAAUAAACCGGGAGAAAAAG
rnacentral:rRNA from 1 species